GGAGUGAUGAUAGAGGGAUGUGAAAGAGGAGAGAGGUAAUGGUUGUACUCCCCCAUGGAGUGAUGAUAGAGGGAUGUGAAAGAGGAGAGAGGUAAUGGUUGUACUCCCCCAUGGAGUGAUGAUAGAGGGAUGUGAAAGAGGAGAGAGAGGUAAUGGUUGUACACCCUGGAUUCAAAUACUGUUUGAAAUCUUACAAAUACUUUGAACAUUUCCUUUAGUCCUCCAGGCGGGCGGGUUUGUUUGUACUUUUAGGACUUUUCUAUUGGUUCCAUUACAACAAACUCAAUCAAACACUGCUUAUUAAAUAUUCAACAUUAUUUUAACGCAGGUCUGUUUCCACGUGCAAUCAGCCUGUAACGUCUUGUAUGAUCUCAUCAGGUAAAGGUGUGUCAAAUAGAAAGGCAAGUCUCACCACUGAGAGGAAAACAUCACUGGUCCACCUCUGCAUCAGGUCAGCUAUGUUGAUCAGUACUGUCCCAGGGAUGCUGGGAGCAGAGAUGAACUCCCCUGACCUGGUACCACCUAUGGAGUUGUCAUUUUAAUAUCAGUUUAACCCCAUUGCUGCUAUAACACAUAAACCAUGUUAAUAGAAUGAAAUGGAUCCAGGUUCCAUUUAUUCUACAUUAGAUUUACUGCCUGUGGAACACUUCUCCAAAGUGUCUGAAAUCAAGAUGACUGCAGGUCUGAAUCCCAAACUAAUGGGGGGAAAUGGCUCCAUCUAAUAAGAUGGUAUUUAGAGGUAUGAACCUUUCUACUGGGGUGAACCAUCCCCUUAACAUACAGAACCAGUCAAAAGUUUGGACACACCUACUCAUUCAAGGGUUUUUCAUUAUUUUUACUAUUUUCUACAUUGUAGAAUAAUAGUGAAGACAUCAAAACUAUUAAAUAACACAUAUGGAAUCAUGUAGUAACCAACAACGUGUUCAACAAAUCAAGUGGAGGCCAGGUCAUCUGAUGCAGCACUCCAUCACUCUCCUGCUUGGUCAAAUAGCCCUUACACAGCCUGGAGGGGUGUUGGGUCAUUGUCCUGCUGAAAAACAAAUGAUAGUCCCACUAAGCACAAACCAGAUGGGAUGGCGUAUCACUGCAGAAUGCUGUGGUUGCUAUGCUGGUUAAGUGUGCCUUGAAUUCUAAAUAAAUCACUGACAGUGUCACCAGCAAAGCACCAUCCUCCUCCUCCAUGCUUCACGGUGGGAACAGAUGUCCAUUGCUCGUGUUUCUUGGCCCAAGCAAGUCUCUUCUUAUUAUUGGUGUCCUUUAGUAGUGGUUUCUUUGCAGCAAUUGAUGGUGUAGGUGUUUUCUGUUAAGAGAAUGUGUUUCUAUAGUGAUCUGUACUUAUUGGUAUAAUUCUAUAAUGAACUAUAGUGAUCUGUACUGAUUGGUAUAAUUCUAUAAUGAACUAUAGUGAUCUGUACUGAUUGGUAUAAUUCUAUAAUGAACUAUAGUGAUCUGUAGUUAUUGGUAUAAUUCUAUAAUGAACUAUAGUGAUCUGUAGUUAUUGGUAUAAUUCUAUAAUGAACUAUAGUGAUCUGUACUUAUUGGUAUAAUUCUAUAAUGAACUAUAGUUAUCUGUAGUUAUUGGUAUAAUUCUAUAAUGAACUAUAGUUAUCUGUAGUUAUUGGUAUAAUUCUAUAAUGAACUAUAGUGAUCUGUACUUAUUGGUAUAAUUAUAUAGUGAACUAUAGUUAUCUGUAGUUAUUAUUUCCUGGAUAUAAUGUAUAGGUGCUCCACCAAUAUAAUUGAUCCAAGGAACUAGAGGGGAGGGGAACCCCGCCUAGAGGAAAGAACUUAGAUUUGGAAACAAUGGUGGAGUAAAGCCGAGGGGAUCUGGUUAUUAGCAUAAAGUGGAGGGACGAUGACACUUCUAUCAGCAUGAAACUGUAUAAAAGGACUGAGACUGAGUCCGGCAGUUGGUCCAUGGCCCAGCUCGGCUUGUUACUUUGUAAUAAAGUCCAGUUGAAUUCACAA